GAAUUCAGGCAUCUCCAUUCUCUCCCUCUCUCACGAUCGUAAUGUUAAUCAGACGUUUCUCUCUCACUAAAACUGUGCUCAACUCCAUCUUCCACCACCAUCCCCUCCGCCUCUUAACCACCGUGUCAAAUCAGCCGCAGCCUCCCCCGCCAUCCCCAGUUAACCCAGACCACCUUCUCCGAGUCUGUACCAUCCUUUACCAACAGCAAUACUCUCCAGAUUCCAAACUUCACUCCAAACUCUCCUCUUGCGGUUUCCAUAUCACCCACGAAUUCUUCCUCCAAGUCUGUAACAAAUUCCCAUACUCCUGGCGCCCUGUCUACCGCUUCUUUCAGUACAUACAGCAAACAGCUCACCCACAAUUCGCUCACACCACUGUCUCCUUCAACAAGAUGUUAGACGUUAUUGGAAAAUCAAGAAACCUUGAUCUCUUCUGGGACACGGUUCAAGAAAUGGGCAAACUUGGUUUGGUUAAUGAUAAGACUUUUAUUAUUGUUUUGAAAACACUGGCUUCGGCCAGGGAGUUGAAGAAAUGCGUGCAAUUUUUUCUCUUGAUGAAUGGGUAUGGGUGUGGGUAUAGUGUGGAGAGGUUAAAUAAGGCGGUGGAGAUAUUGUGUAGAAGUAAGCUUCUUGAGGAGGCAAAGUUCGUGGUUUUGAAGUUGAAGGAGUGGAUUAGGCCUAAUGGGGUUACUUACGGGUUGUUGGUUAAGGGGUUCUGUGAUGUGGGUGAUAUGAUUGAGGCUUCAAAAGUGUGGAAUUUGAUGGUAGAUGAAGGUUUCGAGCCAGGGAUCCACGUAUUUGAGAAAAUGAUGGAGACAUUUUUCAAGAGGAAUGAGUAUGAUGAGGCUAUGAAGGUGUUUCAAACGAUGAGAGUGAAGAGAAUGGAUGAUUUAGGUCUUUCUUCUUACAGGCUCGUCAUUGACUGGAUGUGUAAAAGAGGCAAGAUUGCCCAAGCGAAGAUGGUGUUUGAUGAAAUGUCCAAGAGAGGGAUUGGAGCAGAUAAUCUUACAAUAGGGUCACUAGUAUAUGGGCUUUUAGCAAGAGGAAGGGUUAAUGAGGCUUAUCAAGUAGCAGAAAGUAUCGACAGGCCAGAUAUCAGUGUGUAUCAUGGGUUGAUUAAGGGACUACUAAGGUUGAGAAGAGCAAGUGAAGCUACACAAGUGUUUAGGGAGAUGAUAAAGAGAGGGUGCGAACCUACAAUGCACACGUAUAUUAUGCUAUUGCAAGGGCAUUUGGGGAAGAGAGGGAGGAAGGGACGAGACCCACUUGUGAAUUUUGAUACCAUAUUUGUUGGAGGGUUGGUAAAGGCUGGGAAGUCAUUAGAAACCACCAAGUACGUGGAGAGGACAAUGAAGGGAGGACUUGAGGUUCCUAGAUUUGAUUACAAUAAGUUUUUGCAUUAUUAUUCAAGUGAGGAAGGUGUAAUUAUGUUUGAAGAGAUGGGAAAGAAAUUGAGAGAGAAAGGGUUGGUCGAUUUGGCAGAUAUAUUUGAGAGAUAUGGAAAGAAAAUGGCUACCAGGGAGAGGAGGAGAAAUGGAGAAGUUGAGCCCUCCUGAGAAAGAGUUCUCCUAAUGAGUUGAUGUUUCACACACACAUGCGCGCUAUAUAUAUAUAUGUAUUGACUGUUUAUUUUAACAUUAAAAAUUUUUAUGGGAAUAUGAAAAGGAUUCAUUAAAUCACUUGGGUUUUGAGAUCCUUGCUUCUUUUAAUUGGUUAAAACAUAAAUUGAUACAAAAAAUAAAAUGAUGAAUUCCCAUACUAUGUCAUGCUCUUAUUAUAAUACUU
rnacentral:misc_RNA from 1 species